GGGGGGGGGCCGGAUCCUGGGCUGUGUCCCGGCGCCCUGUGCUCUGGAGCCUGCGCUGUUGGAAUCCCGCUCCCGCCCCGCAGCCCCCU
rfam:Canis lupus familiaris chromosome 6, whole genome shotgun sequence.